GGCUAGACAAGCAUGGAAGACGCCGGAGAGAGCACGCGUGGCUGUGAAAAUAUCUCGGAUUCCGAGGAAGACCGAUGCUCAGAAAAUGACUUUGGGACGUCCAAACUCGGAACUAAAGAGUUCUGGGAUGAUGCAUACCAAAAAGAGCUUGAGACGUUCAACGAUAUUGGAGAUGUUGGUGAGAUAUGGUUUGGUGAGGAAAGCAUGAGCCGUGUCCUGCGAUGGAUGGACAAAGCGAAGAUCCCAGAAAAUGCUGCCAUUCUUGACAUUGGCACUGGAAAUGGAGCUUUUUUAGUUGAGCUGGCCAAACAUGGAUACAAGAAUCUGACCGGCAUAGAUUAUUCUCCUGCGUCUGUGGAAUUGGCCAGAAGUGUGCUUCAGGCAGAGAAACUGACAGAUGUCACUGUAAAGGAGAUGGACUUCUUAAGUUGUCCGAAGGAGUUAAAAGGUUUUGACGUCUGUAUCGACAAAGGAACAUUUGAUGCAAUAAGCUUAAACCCAGUCAACACCAACGAGGGCAAAAGACAGUAUGUCCAAGCCCUAAAAGAUGUUCUGAAGGAUAAUGGAUUCUUUGCCAUCACUUCCUGUAAUUGGACAAAAGAGCAGCUACUUGACAGAUUCAGUGAAGGUAUCUCUAGGAUUUCAUGAGAAUAAUCCAAAAAAAGAGAAAAUAACCAGUGAGUGGAUGUUCUCCUGGGAGAAAAUUGGCUUGUUGGUGUCAAAGGAGAAUGGCUAGACUGCUUCAAGCCAACAAGAAGGCAACAGUAGCUCAAAUAACCACUUGCUACAGCUAAGGAUUUGAGUUUGUGCAGGAGUUGUCUACACCCACUUUCCAAUUUGGAGGCAAGACGGGCAA